rnacentral:rRNA from 1 species
GAUGAACGCUAGCGAUAGGCCUAACACAUGCAAGUCGAGGGGCAGCAUAGAGUAGCAAUACUUUGAUGGCGACCGGCGCACGGGUGAGUAACACGUAUGCAACCUACCUACAUCAGGGGAAUAACCCGGAGAGAUUCGGACUAAUACCGCAUAAUACAGGGAUGCCGCAUGGCAAUAUUUGUUAAAGAUUUAUCGGAUGUAGAUGGGCAUGCGUUCCAUUAGCUUGUUGGUGAGGUAACGGCUCACCAAGGCAACGAUGGAUAGGGGAACUGAGAGGUUUGUCCCGCACACUGAAAUAGAGACACGGACGAGACUCCUACGGGAGGCAGAAGUGAGGAAUAUUGGUCAAGGGACGAGAGUCUGAACAAGCCAAAUCGCGUGAAGGAAAACUGCCCUACGGGUUGUAAACUUCUUUUGUACAGGAAAAAAAGACAUUACGUGUAAUGUAUUGCAUGUACUGUACGAAUAAGCAUCGGCUAACUCCGUGCCAGCCGCCGCGGUAA